GAUGAACGCUGGCGGCGUGCCUAAUACAUGCAAGUCGAGCGAACGGACGAGAAGCUUGCUUCUCUGAUGUUAGCGGCGGACGGGUGAGUAACACGUGGAUAACCUACCUAUAAGACUGGGAUAACUUCGGGACACCGUAGCUAAUACCGGAUAAUAUUUUGAACCGCAUUGUUCAAAAGUGAAAGACGGUCUUGCUGUCACUUAUCGAUGGAUCCGCGCUGCAUUAGCUAGUUGGUAAGGUAACGGCUUACCAAGGCAACGAUGCGUAGCCGACGUGAGAGGGUGAUAGGCGGCACUGGAGGUUGGACGGGGUCCAGGCGCCUACGGGAGGCAGCAGUAGGGAAUCGUCCGCAAUAGGCGAAAGCAUGACGGAGCAACGCCGCGUGAGUGAUGAAGGUCUUCGGAUCGUAAAACUCUGUUAUUAGGGAAGAACAUAUGUGUAAGUAACUGUGCACAUCUUGACGGUACCUAAUCAGAAAGCCACGGCUAACUACGUG
rnacentral:rRNA from 1 species